UCAUGUUUCAGCACAGAAUUGCCGCCCUUGAUAAGCAUAGUGUGUUGUAGUUUUCAAAUUUUCAACCAAGACACGGUGUGCUUUUCAGUUGGAAACUCGCUGCUCGAGUUAAAUAAAAAAAAUUAGUUGCCAGGCAACGACUCGCGCGACACCACAAAACGACGAAAGAAAGAGGGAGAAUAAAACAACUUUGGCGCGAGAAAGGACACCUGUCCCGCACCCCUCCUCCUGAUUCGUGGACUGUUCCCUCAGUACGUGGCACUCCGUCACAGAGUUCAGACCUGCGCUGGUCGUCGGUGCAUUUUUCGCGGGAAAACUUGCAAUCUUGUUGAAGUUCUCGGCAUCGUCAGUCCUGGAACUAAGUUGGAUGCAGUGGCACUCGGAGGAUAAUACUUACAGUCAUCACUGUAGCAGUGGAUCGGCCUCCAUCCGUGGUGCUGGCAGCAUCCUGUGGAAAGCGAACCUGGGACCAUACAUCACCGGGUGGUGAUUCAGCUGCCCUUGGACAGCCCUGCCGACCAAAUCAGCGCGGGACGUCGGCUGACGUCACAGGCGCGCGGUGGCGACGGAGCAGCAGGCGGGAUCACCGCCACCUGCUCCCGUUGGGGUAGUGUCUCGGCGCGACACCUGCCGCCCUGGUCCUGGCCCAGUGCGUGACGCGGCGCCAGCACAUCGUUUGCAGCGCACGUCAUUGUUAGGUACACUUCCGAAGGAAUUCGCGUCUCUGUUCGCUCCUAUUGUCGAGUGCCAUCACUGCGCUCACUUUUCUUAAACCUCUCGUUCGUAAAUCAAAGUUUAUCAAUAUAACAUGUGUGAUCGUGCACUUGCAAGCACGAGUGUCUGCAGGCCUAUCAACUUCUUCUCUUGAUGCAUGCAUACCACUAGACCACCAAAUAUACUUAAAAUAUUAAUGCUUAUAUGUAAUAAUAAUAAAUAAAAUCAUUUAGAUAGCUCUCGGUUCGUAAUCUAUUAACAAGAAUAAUAUAUUAGCUUAAUUAACAAUAAGCUUAUUAAACAUGAAUAACAUAUUUCUUGAAAGUUUUAAAUUCAAGUUACCACAACUUUGCAUAAAUUAAUUGGAAAAUUAAUACAUUUCUCAUAUUGUUAGGAUGUGAUUUUCACAAUGUUCAUUUGCAUGCAGCCUAAGCCUAGUGCUGCCUGUAUACUUCACAAUAUCAUUUCACAUAUCAACUUCAUGUAUAUCUUAUGUCUACAUUUCAUCAACAAUUCAUAAAAAUUUACAAUUCACAAUUUCAUAUCAUAACAUUUACAUUACAUUUAUAUACAGUGUUAUAGGCUGAUAUUAUAAUAGCCUGAUUGUAAUAACAUUUUAAAUGAGUUCUUUAAAUUCUUUAAACAAAAAUUGUUUUUAGCUAAACAAAGUAUUUUUAGCUAGGUAACAAGGCUGUGUGAAAGAAAUCAUACCAUAUGUUCCUUUACUUGCUUAAUUUUCAUCCGCCUCUUUUAUCACAGCAGCAGGCGAAUUCUCUUGUCUUUCCUUUUUUUCUUUUCUUAUCUCAGUCGUCUCGGCGAGUGAGUAACUUGAACUCUGUUAUCUGACUGGUGGCCUCCGAUUUCCUUCUGGCGACUAUCGGAGCAGAUCAGCUGUUCGGUGCUGUUUCAUUUCACUUUCAUUUUCAUCGUGUUUUAUCGACCCGCAGCGGGCUUCGCUGGGUCGGAAAUUCACGUUCAUUUUUCACAAAUAUUCCUUACAGGAAUUUAGCCUUGUAAUGUGUCUGAGGCUCCUAGCCUCGGUGUAGAUAGCAACAUGCUAUAUUAUCAAUUGUAAACAAAACAUGUGUUCUUCAGGAUAGCUUGCAACAGCUCCUGCCGAGUAGUACAUUUUUCAUUUUCUCUCUUCUCAGAGAAGAAUUUAGUAUUUUUUUAAGACAAAAAAAAAAUAAUUAUAUUUUCUUGAAAAUUUUUCUCUUUUGCUGGGAGAAUUGUAUAGCUUGAAGUUGGUUUAUAUUGAGGCCUGUGGACACUCACUGCAAGAGCGUGUCAUCUCGCGACAUAGGAUUCUACACAGUGUUUUUCAGGUCAGCCUAUACCAAGAUUUUUCUUCAACGAAACAAAAUACAUAAACAAACUUCGAAAAAUCGAGUGAUUCAUAUAAUGAAAAUUUAUAAAUUUUCUGUAUAGGUUUUUUUUUUUCACAAUAAAACUUCAUAUAGAUGUUUUCUGCAAA